CCUACGGGUGGCAGCAGUGGGGGAUAUUGCACAAUGGGGGGAACCCUGAUGCAGCGACGCCGCGUGGGUGAAGGAGUGCUUCGGCAUGUAAAGCCCUAUCGGCAGGGAAGAAGCAAGACGGUACCUGACUAAGAAGCCCCGGCUAACUACGUGCCAGCAGCCGCGGUAAGACGUAGGGGGCGAGCGUUAUCCGGAUUCACUGGGUGUAAAGGGAGCGUAGACGGCCAUGCAAGCCAGGGGUGCAAGCCCGGGGCACAACCCCGGGACUGCCCUUGGAACUGCAUGGAGGGAGUGCGGGAGGGGCAGGCGGAAUUCCUGGGGGAGGGGGGAAUUGGGUAGAGAUCAGGAGGAACACCGGAGGCGAAGGCGG
rnacentral:rRNA from 1 species